GUGCUCACUUUGGUAGCAUUUCUACUAAAAUUGGAAUGAUACAGUGAAUAUUAACAUGGCCCCUGUCUAAAGAUGACACACAAAUUUGUGAAGCAUUCAGUUUAUUG